rnacentral:sRNA from 1 species
UUUAUUCAUGCCUCGUAAACAUGGCAAACCAUUCCAAACAAUAAAAAGAAAAGUAGGCGCUUGACAAAUAUUCUUGACCUACUGAAAAAGAAUGCCUCGUAAUCUAACAUGCUGAGUUCUAUCUCUCACCGUCGUCUCAAAUUUUCACCUCAACAGAUGUAGCGUCCACUGCCUACUCUCAAUCGUCUUUGCAUCAUCUGAAACUGUUCAAUGAAGCUAUAUAUUCUACCAUUUCAAGAAGGUAUUGUUCAAAAAAAGGAGGUGCCUCCUUGGAUUGCAAGUAAACAGCCAAAUAUCAAUGUUGCUUCAGGUCGAGAAGUCUCUUCCGCAAUGUCUCCAUAACUGAUUGGAUCUUAUCUGAUAUCUUCUGGUAAAGCCAUCUCUGAGCCGCUUCAUCUAGUCCGUCUGGCAUGAUGCUUGGCCAACCCUUCCUUUCAAAAGAUGAAUCCUGAGGUACUGUUCUUGCUGCCUGCUUCAAGCUUGGCAGAUCAAACUCCACUGGCUCUCCAACGAUGAUAUGUAUCUCCUUGUUCCAAAGAGGCACUGGCGGUCGACGCCCAAAAAAUGAUUUCUCUGGCAUGACCUACAACCAACCAGAAUGCACAAUAGGCAAAACAAUUGGAGUUACUGGUGCUCGGACGAUAAGACUGGCAGUUCCCCACUUCAGACGUCUGAUUGGCUGAUCAUCUUGAGCUAUUUUUCCUUCAGGGAAUGAAUGCAACUUCUCCAGUGCUAAGCACUUCAAGGGCUUCAGUCAUAUGAUCCUGAUAAAUUCCAGCACCUCGUGUGAUCGGCACACAUUUCCCUUCGAAAUAUGUAAGACAUGAACACAUUCCUGAAGCAGAUGUCCUCUGCUGUCAACACCCAUCUUUGAAG